GACGAACCGUGCGAACGUUAUUCGGAAUCACUGGGCUUAAAGCGCGUGUAGGCGGGAGGGCACGUCCGUCGCUGAAAUCCCCCGGCUCAACCGGGGAACGGGCGCGGAUACGACCUUCCUGGAGGGGCGUAGGGGGACCUGGAACUUCCGGUGGAGCGGUGAAAUGCGCAGAUAUCAGGAAGAACACCCGUGGCUAAGGCGGCUCUCUAGUACGGUACUGACGCUGAGACGCGAAAGCGUGGGGAGCGAACAGG
rnacentral:rRNA from 1 species